rnacentral:tRNA from 1 species
CGGGAAGUGGCGCAGCUUGGUAGCGCAUCUGCUUUGGGAGCAGAGGGUCGCAGGUUCGAAUCCUGUCUUCCCGA